rnacentral:rRNA from 1 species
AUUGAACGCUGGCGGCAGGCCUAACACAUGCAAGUCGAACGAGUGGCGGACGGGUGAGUAAUGUCUGGGAAACUGCCUGAUGGAGGGGGAUAACUACUGGACACGGUAGCUAAUACCGCAUACCAUCAGAUGUGCCCAGAUGGGAUUAGCUUGUUGGUGGGGUAACGGCUCACCAAGGCGACGAUCCCUAGCUGGUCUGAGAGGAUGACCAGCCACACUGGAACGGAGACACGGUACAGAAUCCUAGGGGAGGCAGCAGUGGGGAAUAUGGCACAAUGGUCGCAAGUCGGAUGCAGCGAUGCCGCGGGUAUGAAGAAGGCCCGCGGGUUGUAAAGUACGUUAAGCGGGGAGGCGGUAGCCGCAGAAGAAGCCGCGGCUAACUACCUGCCAGCAGCCGCGGUAAUUC